UGUUUGAUGUUCUAACGUGGACCCGUGAUCCGGGUUGCGGACAGUGUCUGGUGGGUAGUUUGACUGGGGCGGUCUCCUCCUAAAGAGUAACGGAGGAGCACGAAGGUUGGCUAAUCCUGGUCGGACAUCAGGAGGUUAGUGCAAUGGCAUAAGCCAGCUUGACUGCGAGCGUGACGGCGCGAGCAGGUGCGAAAGCAGGUCAUAGUGAUCCGGUGGUUCUGAAUGGAAGGGCCAUCGCUCAACGGAUAAAAGGUACUCCGGGGAUAACAGGCUGAUACCGCCCAAGAGUUCAUAUCGACGGCGGUGUUUGGCACCUCGAUGUCGGCUCAUCACAUCCUGGGGCUGAAGUAGGUCCCAAGGGUAUGGCUGUUCGCCAUUUAAAGUGGUACGCGAGCUGGGUUUAGAACGUCGUGAGACAGUUCGGUCCCUAUCUGCCGUGGGCGCUGGAGAACUGAGGGGGGCUGCUCCUAGUACGAGAGGACCGGAGUGGACGCAUCACUGGUGUUCGGGUUGUCAUGCCAAUGGCACUGCCCGGUAGCUAAAUGCGGAAGAGAUAAGUGCUGAAAGCAUCUAAGCACGAAACUUGCCCCGAGAUGAGUUCUCCCUGAGACUUUAGGUCUCCUGAAGGAACGUUGAAGACGACGACGUUGAUAGGCCGGGUGUGUAAGCGCAGCGAUGCGUUGAGCUAACCGGUACUA
rnacentral:rRNA from 1 species